GUGGACCCAGUCUUGUAGUGAAUGUUUGUUUGUGACAAGAGGGCCUGCAAAACCUAUCACUCCCAGCAGCUCUGAACCUCUGAGAACACAUGAUCAAUGCUUUAGAAGGAGCCUCUUAUCUGUCUCGAGCAGCCAUAUUUUCUACCUUUGGGAUGGGUUCCGGGAGGAAAAGAGAAGCUGGUGGUGAAGGGGAGGCCAGGGCACCCCAAAAUGAAGGCAAGAAGGUGUUUUCCAGAGGACAAAACAGGUCUUGUGUGUAACCCAGGAUGGCUCUGAAUUCUCCAUUCUCCUACUUCAGCUUCCUACAAAAUAUUUUUAAAUUCAGGACUGCAAUCUAUUAUGAAAGAUAUCCUAUCGGAGACUGGUAUAAAAGUUUAAGAAGGAAUGAGCAGAAUAUCAAAGCCCUGGGCCUGAAGAAAGAAGAGAGCAGGGAUAAAAGUGAUGUCAUACUUUUAUAAAGAGCGUUAACCAUGAAGUCAACUGCAAAAUUUGCACUGUGAACAGAAAACCCACCUCUCUGCUUGAAGGGUGGUUCUUACUACAAUUAAAGUUUCCAGGACAUCUUUGGGGGCUGUCUUGGGCACUCCAGGCCCGCCUGUUGAGCCACUGCCCCUGGCACAGAAAGGGCACAGGUGCCAGAGAACCCAGGCACACAAACGUGAAGAGCCAGCUGGCCACUGGCUUUUUUUUCCCAUGGGACAUGCCCACAAGGGGCUGGUUAGUGACUUCAUCCUUCACCCUAACCGCAGAAGACUGUAAUGGGCAGAUCGGAGUGGCAGCGAGAGCGCCAACACACCGCUGCAAGCUCCGUGGACCCUAGAGCUUACAAAUGAAAGCUCUUUCCGCUUUAAGAACACAGGCCCCAGAAUAAACAAUGUGGAAGGAGACACACGUUUACUCUGGUUUCAACACGCCUCUUCCCCAUCCAGUAAAAGCCCUUCCCAGCUCCGCCGGUGAGGCCGGCCGGGGAUGAAGUUAACCCCACCUGCU